AAUCCAUGGUGUCCACCUUUUCACCUAUAAGACCAAGGAAACCAGUUUUGUUGGUAGGUCUAAUGCCCUCUGGUUUGCUUGUGGAUUUAGAUUCUGCGAACACGACUUCUGCACGAGCAAGUUUCUUCUUGUAGCCUUCCAACUCCACCCAAAUUUUGUUGGCCUCUUUGUUGUCGGUGACCACCAUCGACUUGUAAUAUGUUUCGGGAUAAAGAAACCUGAAAUAAGAGUCCACCUUCUCAUUCAGGGACUGAUCUUGAGAUGCUGAAGGGAUAUCUCUAACUAACAUCGUGAAAUGUUCGGGUUUUGCUUCUGCGCCUCCUUUGCCUGAAGCUCGCAGUUCUAAAACAUGCUUGUAGGAUUUCCAU
rnacentral:misc_RNA from 1 species